GCGUCGUUACUUGCUCGGCUACGGCAUGCGCUAUCCAUGUUUUGCAGCCAGUUUCGUGCCGGUCGCUGGUUGAUCCACACAUGUUUUGAUGUUUUGUUAUAACGUUUAUUCGGACUUCAAUAUUCUAAAUUUGUGUUAUACUUGAAGAUCAAUCGACUAUUUAUUUGUACUUUGCGACUAUAGUAAAUCGUUUAAUGUUCGGAAAUGCCGGUUUUUGAUCGCGUUGGUUAUGUAUAUUACAAGUCACGUGAUAAUGGAUUUGAUAACAUUCUUCACUCGGCGUUAUGUUUGGUGUCGGUUACUAAAUUAAUCGGAUAUAUUUCGCCCCCAUGUUGAUUCUCAUCAUUAAGAAAGAUACAUCAGGCUCGUUUACAGCACUCGUUGUGCCUGGCAGUCCGAUAAGCUGCACACUGUAUUCGCUGUACCAUGGAGUCCGAUGAGUUCUGGCUUAACAUUUACAUAAACGUUAACGCUACCCUUCUACGGUGCCUUGAAUGGGAGUCACUUCUAUCGCUAUCUUUGUACGUUGCCCUAAAUGGGAGUCUUUAUGGAUCCUUUGUUGGAUGAAGCAUUGGCAAUCCUGAGAUGGCCUAGUUUAUCAAUAGGGACCAACUGGAGAGGUUCCUUGGUACAGGUAGAGUGCGUUUUGAGGAUGAAGUUUUGAUUACUGAAGAUGGAUGUGUCAACUAGAUUAAAAUACCCAGAACAGUCCGAGAAAUUGAAGAUUGGAUUGCCGGUGUGGAUGAUGAUUCCAAAUACGAUUGAAUGUAUUUACAACAAUUCGAAGCUGUUAUUGAUUUCAUUUUUGUUUAUUUUGUUAUUAGUUAUAAAAAGAGCAUUAUAUAAUUGUAUAAUAUUAUUCUGUUUUUACGCUUGUAUUUUUAAAAAUGCUGUAUAUAUUGAGAAAUGGAGUUUGUGAUGUAUAUAUAUUCUACAUGUUCAAAUAAAAUUGUAGUUUUAUAUUUUUAACUAUAAA